CGUCGGAAUCUCCUCCAGCCGCCGCCAUCUUGACUUCACGUUAAGCAACUUAGAUCGUCUCUGUUCCGGUUGUCUCGUCUAGGAUACGUCACCUACGUGAUCAUAGAGAUUUGAGAAAGACCGAUAACUUCCGGAACUAAAUUAUAGAAAUUGAAGUUCACCCUGCUAAUUCUACCUAUCCAGUGGCCCAAUCCCAGGAGUAAAGACUCAAAACAUAAUCACACUCACUGAUGCUGCAGCACCAAACAGAGUAACAGUGGCUGUCUCCUGCCACCCACUUUGCAUUAUCAUGAUAUAUGCAUAGCCCUGGCUACAGUUAAGAAAACUGAGUGAAUGGAUGGAAAGUGGCACAGACUGUCUCACACAUGCAAGCUGUGUGCUGUCUAUGAACUUCAGGAUCUUCCUAUUGGUUUCUUCAUCUUCCAUUUGACCUGGAGACACUUGGGGCAGUUCUUUCUUUUGGGUAGGGGAGUUUUAUUAUAACCAAAUUUGAGACCAGCGACAGGCCCAGCAGGGCAACUGAAUGCUCACCUUGUAAAAGAGCCACAACUCCUGAGCACAUCAACGAAGGCCACACCAAUGAACCCAUCAACAUUCAGGAUGAGGUUAGGUUUCUGGUAGGGGGGAAUAAAAGGUGGAAAGCUCAUGUUUCUUCCUCCAAGACAUUGCAGGAAUAGACUGGUACUUGCAUUCAACGCAAGUUGUUCAGAGAAAAGCCACUGGGCUUUUGUUGACAAAUGUCUUGGGAUGGGAAUAUCUAUAUGUUGGGACAAUGUUUUUAAUGCAAGUAGUUAUUUUCAGGUAUUGGACUCCUUGGGACUGGGAGUGGUGAGGGAUAGAGCCUUGUAAGAGAUCCCUAGUGCCUUUCACAGCACUACAGAUUCACAAGGCUUCUGAUUAAAAAAAGCCACCAGGGUUUUUCAGGUUUGAAAGAUGUGUGGACAAUAGUAUCUAUAGACCAUGUAAGCCAAGGGAAGGGCCAUACUUCUAUAGAAGCACACAACCGAGAUUCCCAGGUCCUCUCCCUUGGUCAGAAGAGAAAUAUUUUGUUGUUUGUGCUAACAAAACUAUUUAUAGGUCACCUUUACAACAAAGCUAGAGAGGCAGCUCUUUAUAUUGUUCUUUGUGUUCAGACAUGUACACAAAGAACAACACAGGCUUGUAAACAGAUAUUCACUUGGUUGCUCAUGGCAAGUAAAAAAAAAAAGUAGUCACCUCCAGGAAGAAAAAAGAGUGGUCACCUCCAGGUGGCCAAGAAAGAAACCUUUUAAGAUGAUAAAAUAUGCAGUUCCCUUCCUUUACCUUUCCAUGUGUGUGCGUGCGCACACACACACAUGAAGUGACUAAGCAUAAGUUAUAUGGGUAGAUGGGCUAGUAAAGGAAUAUAAUUCUUAAUGAGUAACAUUUAUGUGCAAAGUUAACAUCGUUCCCAGAGCAACAGGAUAGGGGGGAAAGAUGAAGGCAUUCAAUGUGUCAAUGAUUAAUAAAAGUUUAGUACCUUUUGAUUUAAUGUGUUGUGUGUUAUUUCAUAUUGUGUUGUGAGCUGCCCAGAGCACAAUUUGUUAUGGGGUG